CCCCCGGGGGCGGGGAGGAGUCACAAAAGCCAAGCAUCCUAAAGUGCAAAGGAGGAAACUGAGGUCGCCUGAGCAGCCUCCUCCAUACGAAGGUCCUCCGCCCUGCCCUCCAGGCUAGUCUGAGGAUGGCCCCUGACAAGCAGACCCUGAGAGUCUUAGCAUCUCUCUGUCCAUCAGCGCCUCCCGUACAAUGGGUACCCCCAAUGUUGCUAGGAGACUGGACGCCUCAGCCCCAAGACAGGGCUGCCUCCCGCCUCUUCUUCCACCUCACCACACCACCUCCACUGUUCCACCCUCCUCGGAAACCUAGGAAGUCUGUAGGAUCUAUCGAGAUAUCUUUAUAAGCAUGACCACUAUGCCUCUAGAUCUGGAUCAAAAGCCUGUGUCUUACAGCCUCAAGAUCUGGAUCACAGUAUAAUAAAGAGCUGAUGGCCUAUAACAGGGCAGGAGAAGAAAGGCGGGACUUCUGGGCAAGAUUGGAACUCUGGGAAAGAAUCAGGCAUGAUGGGAACUUGCCAGACACAGAAGAAGAAACAACAGGUGCUGGUGCUGAAAGAGAGGUAACUGGGCAGAAUUUAAAUUAGGAUAAAGCAGUUAAUUAAGCUACAUGAGCUAGUUAGAAAACAGCUAUGUUAAAGCCUGAGCUAUAAUAAAUAAUUAUCUCUGUGUCAUUAUUGGAAGCUUCUGGGUCAAGA